UAANACGUGAGCAACCUGCCCUGUAGAGGGGGAUAACGUUUGGAAACGAACGCUAAUACCGCAUAACGCGCUGGGGGGACAUCCCUUUGGCGCCAAAGGAGCAAUCCGCUAUAGGAUGGGCUCGCGUCCGAUUAGAUAGUUGGCGGGGUAACGGCCCACCAAGUCGACGAUCGGUAGCCGGACUGAGAGGUUGAACGGCCACAUUGGGACUGAGACACGGCCCAGACUCCUACGGGAGGCAGCAGUGGGGGAUAUUGCACAAUGGAGGGAACUCUGAUGCAGCGACGCCGCGUGAGGGAAGAAGGUUUUCGGAUUGUAAACCUCUGUCUUCGGUGACGAAACGAGACGGUAGCCGAGGAGGAAGCCACGGCUAACUACGUGCCAGCAGCCGCGGUAAUACGUAGGUGGCAAGCGUUGUCCGGAAUUACUGGGUGUAAAGGGAGCGUAGGCGGGAAAGCAAGUUGAAUGUUUAAGGUACGGGCUCAACCUGUACAAGCGUUCAAAACUGUUUUUCUUGAGUGGAGUAGAGGUAAGCGGAAUUCCUAGUGUAGCGGUGAAAUGCGUAAAUAUUAGGAGGAACACCAGUGGCGAAGGCGGCUUACUGGGCUUUAACUGACGCUGAGGCUCGAAAGCGUGGGUAGCAAACAGGAUUAGAUACCCUGGUAGU
rnacentral:rRNA from 1 species